UCAAUGUCCUAUUUUUAAUGUUAUAAGGUAUUUCUAAUAGUCUGUGCAAAGCGCCAAAGCCGUGACACAUAGCCUGGUACAAAAGGAGAAUAUUUUUCAAUAUUUAGGAUACAUGCUUAUUUACUCAAUAACUUUACAACUUUGACACGUCAUAUUACAUUUUUCAAUAAAAUUUUGUUUAAAAAAAAAGAUGAUGAGAAGUGAGUGGAUCUAGGAAUAUGAAAAGCUAACACGUUUCGUGGAGGAGGUGAGAAUGAGACCAUCAUCCCUCCAGGGACAGAAAAAAAUCAUGGUCAGAGGAGAUGGAGAAACAGGAGAGGGGCAGACUAGGGAUGACAGAAUCGGCUGUUAGGGCUUGUAGAGCAAAGGAUGAAGAAAACAGCUACAGAGAGCAGGGACCUUCCUCCCGCAUCAUGGCACACACACACACACACACAUGCUUAACCCAAAGGGUCACUGGACUCCAAGUCCAGAUGACGUGGGUUCUAGCCCCAGACCUGCCAUUCAGACUCUAUGUGUCACAGGGUGGCAGGGUGAGUCAUAGAAAGGGAGCUGGGUUCAUGGCAGGUUCUCUAAGAAUUAUGAAGCUCAGCAAGUCACUUCAACUACUAAGCCUGAUAAGGAAAAUGAGUCAACUUGAACCCUUUUAUCGCUAACAGCCUGAUUCCAACUCCUAACCCCAGGGUCCAGGAGUAACCCAUAGACAAGUGAAUGGAGAUAAGGAGACAGCUCUGGGGAAAAAAGCAGGAGGCAAGAGAAGCAGGAGCCUGGGGGAGCUGACUGCAGUCAUCCGUAAUACAUCUGGCUAUGUCCGGCAGGUCCUCCUGCCCCAGCCAGAGGAGAGGGCACUGGGGACCAGGUGGGCCAAGGCUGAGGCUGAGGGGGCAGACAAGUGCCGUCUGCACCUGAGGGCUCUGACAGAGGAGACUGCAACACCAUUUCCCCUUCAUCAGCUCAAGUCCAGGAAAGGGAAGUCAGCAGUCGUCACACCGUUUCAGGAGAAACUGGCCUGAGCCUCAUCAUCCUCCACCACCACCAGACAGCUGAUGGGAGGCAGGCAGAUGAGGGUUCAUUGCCGCCAGGUGGUAAGUGGGACUCAGCAAGUGGAGUGGGGGAUGGGGAGGUUAGUGAUGAUGGUGACUAAAGCAGAGAAGGAAAAGGAGGUUCAGACAGUGGAGAGGGCAAGUCUCCCCAAACACUGUGAGGUAGGUCCCCUGAAGGGGUGGCAUCAUGUCUUCCCCCUUCCACCCUAACAUGGCCAUGGGCACAUAGCAGACGCUCAGCAACACCCAUGGAGGAAUUCACCAGAACGUUUGUCCCUCUUAAGACCCCGUGAAGAAUGGUCACUUCCAUGGUGCAGCCAAGGGGCAUGGGAGUCUGUACCCUCUCCCAGCCCCAGGACCUCCCAGAAGCUUGGGUGAUGACUUGUAUCCACCCCCUACCCUCUUCAUGAUGCCCCAUCCAGCUCUCCAGACAUUCCUUCAUGCAACAAACAUUUAUUGAGCUCCUGCCUACUUGCUCCAAGCAGGAUGAUGGGCUAGACAUGGAGCAUACAUAAACGGGCAAGAUUCAGUCCCUGACCGCAAGGCACUUACAGUCUAGUUGGGAAGGGAGACACAAAUGUACAAGAAAGUAUGGUGCAACAGCAACACUCCAGCAGAUGUUAUAGUGUGCUACGGGAGCCCAGGAGAAGGCGGAGUGAUCAAUUUUGG
rnacentral:lncRNA from 1 species